rnacentral:rRNA from 1 species
GCGAGCGAAAAGAAAAUAGUUCAGCACUAAGUCAUUUUGCCUUAAUCGCAAAUAUGAGAUGCAGUGUAUGGAACAUCUAUAAUCUAGUAUGAAAAAUUAACGAUUUAAGUCCUUCUUAAAUGAGGCCAUUUACCCAUAGAGGGUGCCAGGCCCGUAUAACGUUAAUGAUUACUAGAAGAUGAUUCCAAAGAGUCGUGUUGCUUGAUAGUGCAGCACUAAGUGGGUGGUAAACUCCAUCUAAAGCUAAAUAUAACCAUGAGACCGAUAGUAAACAAGUACCGUGAGGGAAAGUUGAAAAGAACUCUGAAUAGAGAGUUAAAUAGUACGUGAAACUGCUUAGAGGUUAAGCCCGAUGAACCUGAAUAUCCAUUAUAGAAAAUACAACAUUAUGAAUAUAAUAUUUUAAUAAUAUUAUGGAAAUGGUGUGCAUUUUUUCUAUAUAAGGACAUUGUAAUCUAUUAACAUUAAUAUAUUUAUCAUAAAAUCAAUGAGAUUUAAGUUUAUUCAAAUUAAUAUGCAUUUUCGUAUAUUAAUAUCGAAUAAAUUCUUAUGAUUUGAUAAAGGGUUGAUAGAUUGAUUUAUAUAUAGUGCUUAAAUUCUAAUAGAAUUUUAUAAUGGCAUAAAUAUCUUAUGAUUUUUAUGUUUAUUAUAUGCGCUAAUAUGAUUAACAAUGGCGAUAGAUUCAGGAUACCUUCGGGACCCGUCUUGAAACACGGACCAAGGAGUCUAACAUAUGUGCAAGUCAUUGGGACUUAUAUUUAUUAAACCCAAAGGCAUAAUUAACUUAAAUGUAAUAUAAAUGGGAUAAGUUUUUAAUCUAUUUAUAGAUUAUUAAUUCAAUCCCGGGGCGUUCUAUAUAGUUAUGUAUAAUAAUAUUUAUAUUAUUUAUACCUCUAACUGGAGCGUACCUUGAGCAUAUAUGCUGUGACCCGAAAGAUGGUGAUCUAUACUUGAUCAGGUUGAAGUCAGGGGAAACCCUGAUGGAAGACCGAAACAGUUCUGACGUGCAAAUCGAUUGUCAGAAUUGAGUAUAGCUGCGUAAG